rnacentral:rRNA from 1 species
UACGUAGGGGGGCAAGCGUUGUCCGGAUUUAUUGGGCGUAAAGAGCGUGUAGGCGGCCAGACAGGUCCGUUGUGAAAACUCGAGGCUCAACCUCGAGAUGUCGAUGGAAACCGUCUGGCUAGAGUCCGGAAGAGGAGUGUGGAAUUCCUGGUGUAGCGGUGAAAUGCGCAGAUAUCAGGAAGAACACCUAUGGCGAAGGCAGCACUCUGGGACGGUACUGACGCUGAGACGCGAAAGCCAGGGGAGCAAACGGG